ensembl:lncRNA
UUUCUGAUUUGUGAGGGUAGAACCAAGUUCAAAACAGAGCUCUAUUGUCCUGAGACUGUGCACAACUAUAUGUGACAGGGUUACUAAAAUGCCUCUCCUUAAAACAUUGGCUACACAGAAAAAUGACUCAACCACUCCUCCUCUUGUCAAACGAGCAUUUAUGGUAUCAUAUUUAGCAUUAUACCUCAGAGCACAGCGACUCCUACGCAUCUAGUGGCAGGAAAUGAAGUACUUGGGCAAUGAAGUCGUGAGGAGUCUUACCCAAGGAACAUAAUCUUUUCUCCAGUGUAGUUACUGUGUGUUUUAAACCUAUUUUAAUAAAUGUACUCAGUUACGACAAAAUUGUCUUUCAUCUUUAAAUCUUACAUGCCUUUAAAGAAACUUAAUUAGUAGGAGUGCAGUAUUCCCCAUCAGUGCAGGUAUGGAUUCUUUUGGGAUUAUCUUCUCCCUACACUACUCUACAGGUCCUCUUCGGGACACUUCCCUAAUGAGCCUUGUAUGGAUCUGCUUGUAUGGGAACAGUAGAGGCUGAGCAGCAUUUAUGAGAUGUUUACGUUUGCAGGUGUUUACUGGUGGAGGACCAACCAUAUGCAAAGUCAGGUGAUGGCCUGAGAUUUAAGAAUCACUCUUAAUUUUCAAGAGUAUGAUUAAACAGUAAUUCACCUCACUCAGAGACGUUCAGUUAAAGCUUCAGCAGCAGGAAAAGACAAAAUACCUCUCCAAAUUUUCUCUCUGAUCAGAUAAGACAUCUACAGCUCAAAGGAAUUGAAGACUUUGGUGACAACCUACCUCUUCUAAAUUGUAUCUGCGGUUUCAACAUGCCUGUCAUUUCCCAUGCUUGCUUACCUCAGCCACUUUACAGCUCCUAAACAGACUGAAUUGACCAAAUCGGAAGCUGGGAAUCUAGCCCUGAUUCUUCAUGUCUUAUCCUGUGAUAAAGAGCUGCUGGCAACACUAACAGAAGAUCUAAAGGAGAUCUAAAGGAGACAUAUUAACUAACUAACCAUUCACAGAGUACUAAAAUAACAAGUUAAUGAAGUACUCCAUUUAAUCACUGGUGUAGUUCAGAGGGAUUUCACUAGAAACAUCACUUUUGUAUGAAAUUGUCAAUUUAAAUUGUGUAAAAUGCUCAUACAAAAUUAUCUCUUUGUUGUCUAUUUUUUUUUAAAGAGCCACUUUAAACGUUGACUGAAGAUGUGCCUUUUGGGUAGUUUUGCUCCAAGUAAAAUGGUUUAAUUAAAAUUGAUUUUAAAUCAGUUAAAUGCUUACAAAGCUUGUGUACAUAUUUUCUCAAAAGAAAAAAAAAAAACUCUAGGACAAUUUAGUACAAGUAAGCUGAUUAAAAAUUAGUUUAAAGGUGUUCACACUGGGUAAACUUUGUAUUAUUUUUAUAUCAGUGGAAUUCCUGCACGUAUCUCCAAGUCAUUAUUCAAAUCAGGGCAACAGAUAAGCCAAGGCACAUAUAAUUACUGUUGAUGAUGAUGCUGAUUCUAUUAUUGCUGCUGUGGUAGAAGCAACGUGUACCAGUUGGGGAUCUAUUAUUCUAGGCUGUGUACACAUAAAAUGAAAAGAUAGCAUGUGCCACAAAGAGCUAUGAGCUAGCAUCAGCUUUGCAGAACUCAGCCUGCCCAAGCUUCUGCUGAAAGCAAAACUAUUCAUUUAUUCAUUUGUAUAUUAACCACAACAAAAAGAUAACUUUACAAAAUGGGAAAUGUAUUUUGAGUAGGUUAAAUUUCACUGAAAAACAGUGAGAGGUGACCGUGUUGUUUUCUGUGAAAAAAAAGUGCUUCUGUUUACCAUUAUUGCUAAAAACAAUCAGCUACAGUAUUCGUUACUAGUUUUAUUUUUGGUUAAUGUGUCAAGUGCGGGCCACUACCAUACGUGGCAGAAUAAAUAUGAAAUAUAUUACUGGGUGGAUCCUUGAAAUACAGUCAGGAGCCUUUUACGAUCUCAACAAUUCAGUGGGAAUUUCACUGACUUGGACAGAUGAGGUUAAAUCUAUCCUGAAUGUGUCUAAAAAUUAUCUGUAGAAGAGAACAAAUUGACGCAGCUCACUUGAACAUUGUAUUUCAGGAAGCUUUACAGGUACCUGAAGGACAAAGCUUUACUGAAGAAUAUCUGCCAGAAACCUACUAUUGUAAAAACCUUCCCUAAUAAAGCUGUACUUAC